CUGAUUCCUCCGCUCCCCGCCCGAUCCAGAUGUCGUCUUUCUUCCUCGAUAGCGUUUAAAAUAUCCAAAACCCUAUUUCUCCUACUUCUUCUUCAUCUUUUCUCUGACCAAGAGUAACACAAGAAAGGUUCUCAGUUUCCACCGCAAGCGGCCAUGGUUCCUCGCCAGCCGCCACAGACGGCCCCGUCAGAGGCGUUCAUCUCCACAACUCUCAACCUCACUUCGUCUCCGGCGGGCUUCAGGAUUGAUAAAUCAUUAUUGGAACGUGUUGUUGCUUCAUUAAUCACUUCAUUUUGAUUGGGUUGUUGCUCCCUGUUGUUGUCUGGCAUCCAGAUUUUCUUUGUUUUUUUUAUACUGAUAUAUUCGGGUUUACUUUAAAAUUAAAUGCUUCCAUAUUUACUUGGAAGAUAUUGAUAAAUACCUUUACCUGUAGUCUUGGUUCUCAAUGUUAUAAUUGAUUCUCUUACCUUUCAUGUUGUAGGUUGUUUUGGCUGUUUGAAAUAGGACCAAAAGCAAGUUCUUUUGCUAUUUAAAUUUUUAACAUGAGACUGAGAAUGACAAAGGUCAAUGGAUUUAUGUGCAGACUGCAGAAUAGUUGUGAAGGAAAUUGAUCGUAUUUAUUAUGAGUAUGUACACCGAAGAGAAUGGGGCUGCCGCAAGAGGACACCAUCAUGUUGCAGGGAACUUAACAUGGCAAGUUCUCAUACUACAUGGUUUAAUUUUUUUCA